UCUAAGCUAUGAUGAUCAAAUUUACCUACAUUGCUUGAAGCAUGUUUUGAUAUUAAAAUAAUGAUCUGAGCUUUCG